AAAGAAUUAGUUAAAUUAUAACAUUAGAAUGUCAAACUAAAAUUAUUAAAUUAUUAAUAUUCUUUA
rnacentral:tRNA from 3 species